AGAUUUGAAAGGUAAUCAACUUGUUCAGCUACCUGCCGGGCUGUUCAACGCCACAACCAAAUUACAAAAGCUAGAUUUGACCGGUAAUCAACUUUUUUACCUACCUGCCGGGCUGUUCAACACCACAACCAAAUUACGAAACCUGAGUUUGUGGAAUAAUAAAAUUGUUUACCUACCAGCCGGGCUGUUCAAUGCGACAACCGAAUUAGAACACCUAGAUUUGACCGGUAAUAAACUUUUUCAACUACCUUCCGGGCUGUUCAACACCACAACCAAAUUACGAAACCU